CUUGCGUGCAUUAACUUCAUGGUGGGCUCUUCCUGCUGUCCUAAUGGUCGGCGCCGUCCGGGUGGGCCUCCUCGGUCGCGGGCCAUUCCAUUGCCGGCGGGAGAAGCACGUAGAGGCGACGACGCGGUGGGGCUUUGUACAGCGGCCACGGGCCGGCCCGCCAGUUACCGUUGAGCUGUGCAAGGAUCGGAAGCCGCCAGGGACGUCAAGGCCAGGCCACUGGGCGCGCACUCGAUGGAGGCGCAGAAGGGACCAGGGACCGUUGGUGGCGCGGCGGCGAAGGGGGGCUUCACCGAGCCGCCGCUAGGUCCUGUCUUAAUGGUCCGCGGCGUCCCGGUCGGCCUCCUCUGCUGCGCGGAGCCGUGGUCGGUCGUCGUUCUACUGCUCCGCUCGAUCGGUAUCUCGACUCAGCCUGCGGUUAUGAUGGAUAGUUCCAUGUCUGAUGCUCAGUUACUGCGAUGGGGUGGCCACUCUGCUCGGUCCCUCGGCUCUGGGUGCAUGGCGGAUCCUUCGGUUCUUCAGUCUCGUGGUGCCCAUGUACGAUCUGAUCAGUGCUGUUUUUUUUCCUUCUUGUUUUUUUCCACGUUUAUUAUGGAGGAUAAGCUGGUGUUGUUCCAUAUGCUAAGCGCUCUGUUGGUUUGGUUGCCUAGCUGGCCUUCUUCUUUGGCGUCCGAUUCUGCGGCUGAUAGUUCCUCCACGCGGCGGAGGGAAGAGAUCCGGUUGGGAAAGCGCCCGGUCGAUUCAAUUAUUGGUGCUUCUUUUGUGAAUCCAAUCGGUGUGUGGACUGGACUGCUCCUUCCCGUCAUCUUUCCGUCUCGGCCUCUGGAGGCUUGGUUUUGCCUGCUUACGAUACGAGGCUCUUGGUGCGCCGGGCGUUUUUCAUGAGUCCGGUGUGUGUGAUGUUCGUUCCGUUGGUACUCGACCUGUCUUUGCGCGGCCAUGGGUUGUUCCAUUGCGAACCGUGGGGUCUCUUUGUCGCCCAGUUGCGUUAGGUCAGUAUGUUUUUCUUUGCUUUCAGUUUGUUCUAUAUGAACUGGUUUGCGCUUUUUAAAAUUUGUUCUUAAUUUUUUUGUAUUCAUAUUAAGUGCCGCCGACAUCAAUUAUGGAACCCCAGGAUAUUAUUCGUGCACGAUGCAAGAGGAGGUUGAUACGGUCGUAUAUGUCUGGAAGAAAGAGAGGGACAACUGCUCGACGGCCCGUUUAUACUGGGUGUUGUCGUGGCGCCAAAGUUCGGUUCACCAUGUGGGGCCAACUCCUCUGGACAGUCUGUUGCGAUUUGAUGGAGAUGCAUCUUCUAAUCGAUUUAUGUGUUUGAUCAGGCAGGAGAGGAACUAUAGAAUUCGCCUCUCGACAUCUUGUUUGGUAAGCGGAGUUUUGACCCAGGGUAUAACUCUUAUGUUUUGUUUUACAUCCUUGGGGUGCUUAUAUUGACCAGAGUAUCAACGUUGGUGGUGCUCCCUAUGUGUUCAAGAUGAAUGGGUCGUAUACCAUCGUAUUGGUAGUGCUCGCUAUGUGUUCAAGAUAAAUGGGGUCGUAUACCAUCGUGUUGGUCCGCUUUUACCACCUCAGGGUUCUCUCCUAAAUUUCCACAAUUAUAUAUGGUUGAUUCUGCUGAUGAAGUUGAGAGUAGGAUUAAUAAAAGAAGUUAUUUUCCGAAAA